rnacentral:rRNA from 1 species
UGCAAGUCGAGCGCGAAAGGCUUUCGGGCUGAGUAGAGCGGCGGACGGGUGAGUAACGCGUAGGAAUCUACCUGGUAGUGGGGGACAACUUGGGGAAACUCAAGCUAAUACCGCAUACGCCCCACGGGGGAAAGCGGGGGACCUUCGGGCCUCGCGCUAUCAGAUGAGCCUGCGUAGGAUUAGCUAGUUGGUGAGGUAAAGGCUCACCAAGGCGACGAUCCUUAGCUGGUCUGAGAGGAUGAUCAGCCACACUGGGACUGAGACACGGCCCAGACUCCUACGGGAGGCAGCAGUGGGGAAUAUUGCGCAAUGGGGGCAACCCUGACGCAGCCAUGCCGCGUGUGUGAAGAAGGCCUUCGGGUUGUAAAGCACUUUAAGUGGGGAAGAAAAGUUGGUCGUUAAUAGCGGCCAGCCCUGACAUUACCCACAGAAUAAGCACCGGCUAACUCCGUGCCAGCAGCCGCGGUAAUACGGAGGGUGCGAGCGUUAAUCGGAAUUACUGGGCGUAAAGCGCGCGUAGGCGGUUUGUUAAGUCAGCUGUGAAAGCCCCGGGCUCAACCUGGGAACUGCAGUUGAUACUGGCCGACUAGAGUACGAGAGAGGGAGGUAGAAUUCCAUGUGUAGCGGUGAAAUGCGUAGAUAUAUGGAGGAAUACCAGUGGCGAAGGCGGCCUCCUGGCUCGAUACUGACGCUGAGGUGCGAAAGCGUGGGGAUCAAACAGGAUUAGAUACCCUGGUAGUCCACGCCGUAAACGAUGUCUACUAGCCGUUGGGAGACUUGAUUUCUUAGUGGCGCAGCUAACGCUUUAAGUAGACCGCCUGGGGAGUACGGCCGCAAGGUUAAAACUCGAAUGAAUUGACGGGGGCCCGCACAAGCGGUGGAGCAUGCGGUUUAAUUCGAUGCAACGCGAAGAACCUUACCAGGUCUUGACAUCCAGAGAACUUGGC